CUUGCGGUAACUGGCCCCAUUCACCGUCCUGUGCCUGACCCUGGAACUGAUUAGCAGGACAUGAGUAAUCUUCCCAUUCGACCACCUCAGAAGCAGGGGGAAUGAUGAACUGUGUUGCCUCCUGGCCUGUGCCAGCUCCCGCCCUGUCCCCUCCCCAGUGCCAGCUGCCACCUGCACCUUUAAUCAUGUCAGGAGGGUCCAAAAUGCUGACAUCUGCUUCUGAAGUUUGGUUUUAAGUACUUUCUCAGAAAUGCAGUUCAAUGGACUCCACCUGAAAUGUCAUUUGGAAAAUGCUUGAAAUUUCUAUAACAGGGCAUUUGUUCAUUUUAGGAAAAAAUUAUGAAGGCAAAAUAAAGACCAGACUUGUGGGCCAA